ncrna:unclassified sequences pemK RNA
AUAAUGAUACUUCCGUAAGACGCGGCCCGGCCACAGUGAAGGCGGGGAGGUUAAAUUCCUAUGA